UAUAUAUAUUAUUAUUAUUAUUAUAUAUAUAGGAAAGUCAUAAAUAUAUAAAUUAUAUUAUAUUAUAUUAUUAUAUAAAAAAAUAAAAUAAAUAAAUAAAUAUAAUAUAUAAUAUAAUAUAAAUAAAGUAAUUAAUAUAAAUAUAUAAUAUAUUCUUUUUUAGUUAUACUUAUUAUUAUAAUAAAUAAAUUAAUUAGGUAACUUUAUUAAUUAUUAUUAAUAAAAAUAAUAAUAAAAAUAAAGAAUAUAUCUGGAAAUAAAAAGCUUAAUAAAUAUAUUAUUAAUUAAUUAAUUAAUUAAUUUCUUUUUAUAAAUAUAAUAAUUUAUAGUAAAAUAAAUUUAUAUAUAUAUAUAAUAUAUAUAUAAAUAAUAAUUAUAUUAUAAUAUAAUAUAUAUUAAUAAAAAUAAUUAAUAAAUGAGCUAUUAGUGAAAUAAAUAAAUAUUAUAUAUAUUAUUAAUAAAUAAAAAUAAAUAUAUAAUUAAUAAUAUAUAAUUAAUAAUAAAACAAAAAUAUGCUUAAAUAUAUAAUAAAAUAAUAUAAAAAUAUAAUA
rnacentral:RNase_P_RNA from 1 species